AGUAACACGUGGGUAACCUGCCCUGAUGAUCGGGACAACCCGAGGAAACUCGGGCUAAUACCGAAUGUGCCCUCCAGCCACAAGGCUGACGGGGAAAGGAAGCUUCGGCCUCCGCAUCGGGAUGGGCCCGCGGCCCAUUAGCUUGUUGGUGAGGUAACGGCUCACCAAGGCGACGAUGGGUAGCUGGUCUGAGAGGACGAUCAGCCACACUGGGAUUGAGAACGGCCCAG
rnacentral:rRNA from 1 species